rnacentral:rRNA from 1 species
CCUACGGGCGGCUGCAGUGGGGGAUAUUGCACAAUGGGGGAAACCCUGAUGCAGCGACGCCGCGUGGGCGAAGAAGUAUUUCGGUAUGUAAAGCCCUAUCAGCAGGGAAGAAGAAAUGACGGUACCUGAGUAAGAAGCACCGGCUAAAUACGUGCCAGCAGCCGCGGUAAUACGUAUGGUGCAAGCGUUAUCCGGAUUUACUGGGUGUAAAGGGAGCGCAGGCGGCACGGCAAGCCUGAUGGGAAAGCCCGCGGCCCAACCGCGGGACUGCAUUGGGAACUCCCGGGCUGGCGUGCCGGCGAGGUAGGCGGACUUCCUAGUGUAGCGGUUCACUGCGUCGCUAUUCGGAG